GCCCGGAUGGUGAAACUGGUAGACACGCAGCGUUCAGAACGCUGUGGGAGCAAUCCCAUGGGGGUUCAAGUCCCCCUUCGGGCACCA
rnacentral:tRNA from 1 species